UUUAGUGAUGAUAAAAACCAUACUAUCGACUAGCUUAAGUGCAAUGUUGUCGUUGUUAACCAUCUUUCGGGACUGAUA
rnacentral:snoRNA from 1 species